rnacentral:tRNA from 1 species
GCGUGGAUAGUUCAAUGGUAGAAUAGGACGUUGCCAACGUCUAGACGAGGGUUCGAUUUCCCUCUCCCCGCACCA